rnacentral:rRNA from 1 species
UUAAAUUGAAGAGUUUGAUCAUGGCUCAGAUUGAACGCUGGCGGCAGGCCUAACACAUGCAAGUCGAACGGUAACAGGAAUCAGCUUGCUGAUUCGCUGACGAGUGGCGGACGGGUGAGUAAUGUCUGGGAAACUGCCUGAUGGAGGGGGAUAACUACUGGAAACGGUAGCUAAUACCGCAUAACGUCGCAAGACCAAAGAGGGGGACCUUCGGGCCUCUUGCCAUCGGAUGUGCCCAGAUGGGAUUAGCUAGUAGGUGGGGUAAAGGCUCACCUAGGCGACGAUCCCUAGCUGGUCUGAGAGGAUGACCAGCCACACUGGAACUGAGACACGGUCCAGACUCCUACGGGAGGCAGCAGUGGGGAAUAUUGCACAAUGGGCGCAAGCCUGAUGCAGCCAUGCCGCGUGUAUGAAGAAGGCCUUCGGGUUGUAAAGUACUUUCAGCGGGGAGGAAGGGAGUAAAGUUAAUACCUUUGCUCAUUGACGUUACCCGCAGAAGAAGCACCGGCUAACUCCGUGCCAGCAGCCGCGGUAAUACGGAGGGUGCAAGCGUUAAUCGGAAUUACUGGGCGUAAAGCGCACGCAGGCGGUUUGUUAAGUCAGAUGUGAAAUCCCCGGGCUCAACCUGGGAACUGCAUCUGAUACUGGCAAGCUUGAGUCUCGUAGAGGGGGGUAGAAUUCCAGGUGUAGCGGUGAAAUGCGUAGAGAUCUGGAGGAAUACCGGUGGCGAAGGCGGCCCCCUGGACGAAGACUGACGCUCAGGUGCGAAAGCGUGGGGAGCAAACAGGAUUAGAUACCCUGGUAGUCCACGCCGUAAACGAUGUCGACUUGGAGGUUGUGCCCUUGAGGCGUGGCUUCCGGAGCUAACGCGUUAAGUCGACCGCCUGGGGAGUACGGCCGCAAGGUUAAAACUCAAAUGAAUUGACGGGGGCCCGCACAAGCGGUGGAGCAUGUGGUUUAAUUCGAUGCAACGCGAAGAACCUUACCUGGUCUUGACAUCCACGGAAGUUUUCAGAGAUGAGAAUGUGCCUUCGGGAACCGUGAGACAGGUGCUGCAUGGCUGUCGUCAGCUCGUGUUGUGAAAUGUUGGGUUAAGUCCCGCAACGAGCGCAACCCUUAUCCUUUGUUGCCAGCGGUCCGGCCGGGAACUCAAAGGAGACUGCCAGUGAUAAACUGGAGGAAGGUGGGGAUGACGUCAAGUCAUCAUGGCCCUUACGACCAGGGCUACACACGUGCUACAAUGGCGCAUACAAAGAGAAGCGACCUCGCGAGAGCAAGCGGACCUCAUAAAGUGCGUCGUAGUCCGGAUUGGAGUCUGCAACUCGACUCCAUGAAGUCGGAAUCGCUAGUAAUCGUGGAUCAGAAUGCCACGGUGAAUACGUUCCCGGGCCUUGUACACACCGCCCGUCACACCAUGGGAGUGGGUUGCAAAAGAAGUAGGUAGCUUAACCUUCGGGAGGGCGCUUACCACUUUGUGAUUCAUGACUGGGGUGAAGUCGUAACAAGGUAACCGUAGGGGAACCUGCGGUUGGAUCACCUCCUUACCUUAAAGAAGC